rnacentral:rRNA from 1 species
UACGUAGGGUGCAAGCGUUAAUCGGAAUUACUGGGCGUAAAGCGUGCGCAGGCGGUUGUGCAAGACCGAUGUGAAAUCCCCGGGCUUAACCUGGGAACUGCAUUGGUGACUGCAUUGCUAGAGUAUGGCAGAGGGGGGGUGGAAUUCCACGUGUAGCAGUGAAAUGCGUAGAGAUGUGGAGGAACACCGAUGGCGAAGGCAGCCCCCUGGGCCAAUACUGGACGCUCAUGCACGAA